CAGUCGCCGCGGGAAUACGAAGGGGGCUAGCGUUGCUCGGAAUUACUGGGCGUAAAGGGAGCGUAGGCGGAUCGUUAAGUUGGGGGUGAAGGCCCGGGGCUCAACCUCGGGACUGCCCUCAAUACUGGCGAUCUUGAGUAUGGGAGAGGUGUGUGGAACUCCGAGUGUAGAGGUGAAAUUCGUAGAUAUUCGGAAGAACACCAGUGGCGAAGGCGACACACUGGCUCAUUACUGACGCUGAGGCUCGAAAGCGUGGGGAGCAAACAGGAUUAGAUACCCCGGUAGUCCCUGUCUCUUAUAC
rnacentral:rRNA from 1 species